rnacentral:hammerhead_ribozyme from 1 species
ACUGACGAGUCCCAAACAGGACGAAACAGCUGUCU